rnacentral:rRNA from 1 species
AUUGAACGCUGGCGGCAGGCCUAACACAUGCAAGUCGAACGAGUGGCGGACGGGUGAGUAAUGUAUGGGAAACUGCCCGAUGGCGGGGGAUAACUACUGGAAACGGUAGCUAAUACCGCAUACCAUCGGAUGUGCCCAGAUGGGAUUAGCUAGUAGGUGGGGUAACGGCUCACCGAGGCGACGAUCCCUAGCUGGUCUGAGAGGAUGACCAGCCACACUGGAAAUGAGACACGGUCCAGACUCCUACGGGAGGCAGAAGUGGGGAAUAUUGCACAAUGGGCGCAAGCCUGAUGCAGCCAUGCCGAGUGUAUGAAGAAGGCCUUCGGGUUGUAAAGUACUUUCAGCGAGGAGGCGUUACUCGCAGAAGAAGCACCGGCUAACUCCGUGCCAGCAGCCGCGGUAAUUC